rnacentral:rRNA from 1 species
AUCUUCCGCAAUGGGCGAAAGCCUGACGGAGCGACGCCGCGUGGGGGAGGACGCCCUUCGGGGUGUAAACCCCUUUUCCCGGGGAAGAGGAGGACGGUACCCGGGGAAGAAGGCCCGGCAAACUACGUGCCAGCAGCCGCGGUAACACGUAGGGGCCGAGCGUUGUCCGGAGUUACUGGGCGUAAAGGGCGCGCAGGCGGCGGCGUGGGCCCGGCGUGAAAGCCCCCGGCUCAACCGGGGAGGGUCGUCGGGGACCGCGUCGCUUGAGGGCGGUAGGGGCCGGUGGAAUCCCCGGUGUAGUGGUGAAAUGCGUAGAGAUCGGGGGGAACACCCGUGGCGAAGGCGGCCGGCUGGGCCGACCCUGACGCUGAGGCGCGAAGGCGUGGGGAGCGAACGGG